rnacentral:lncRNA from 1 species
ACUCUAUAGUCAUAAGUGCUAUCUAUAAUCAUAAUCUGACUCUAUAAUCAUAAGUCGUAUUGGACUUCUGGCGAAGGAGUGGGUCGAUUUCUGUAGAGCUGGGUGAGUCACACCCUUCGUUUUUGUUGCUUUUUCUUGUUGUGCACCAAGUUCUUCUUUUCUUGUUAUUUUUUCUAGUGACUUUUUGCUUUCUCGAGGCCUCGGCUGCUUCACUCUAUAUAGCUUAAUUCACUUAUUUAAUGCAUGAAGUAAAUAGGGUG